CGCCCAGUGGUAGAAUUAGAAAGCAAAAUCACAUGGCAGGGAAAGCAGCAUGCACGUGAUGAGGAAACUUAGCUAUCUACCUGUACAUAAUUAAAUAUCAAAUUUGAAUACGAUUCUUAAUUACAACCCAAAAGCGUGCCAUCCACCCCUCCCCUUCCCUUCCCUUUGUCGUCUAAUUAACGACUCUCACACCAAGGAAUUAAGAGAGUGCAUAUGAUCUUCAUUUUUAUACUAGCUACGUAUUACUAGACCACGUACGUGUGGGACACGUGUACACCGGAAGGUUGUGUUAGUGGGAAGUGGGGUGGCUCUCUGGGGCGCCUCUAUAUAACCAACCUCAAUCUUCAACUCUCUAUGCAUCGCAGAACAUAUUAGCACCACGAAGAAGAAAAACAGUUUCUUAAGAGCAGUAUAUAUAUAUAUCCUUCAGAAGAAUUAAGGAGAUGGCAGACGAGGGAACAGCUACUUGCAUAGACAUCUUGUUGGCCAUCAUCUUGCCUCCUCUUGGUGUCUUCCUCAAGUUUGGCUGCGGGGUGGAGUUUUGGAUCUGCUUGCUUCUCACCCUCUUUGGCUACCUCCCUGGCAUUAUUUAUGCUGUCUACGCCAUCACCAAGUGAAGAUCCUGAUCUUAUCUGUUGUGGAGAGGCACAUAACCGCUUGAUUCAAUGAAAAGUCCCUUGUUGGUGUACAUCAAUACUUGGAUUUAUUCUUCUUAAUCUCUUCAUAGUUGUGUCUUUUUUUUUCCUUAAUUAAGCAAGAAAUGAUUUGUUGUGAAGGAGCUUAGCAAUUGUUGUUGAGUGACAUUAAUUUGUGAGUAUGGGUACUUAAGGCCGUAAUGGAUGAUUAGUGUUCUUGUUAAGCAGUAUCUUUCCCUCU